GAAAUGCGAUACGUAAUGUGAAUUGCAGAAUUCAGUGAAUCAUCGAAUCUUUGAACGCACCUUGCACUCUUUGGUAUUCCGAAGAGUAUGUCUGUUUGAGUGUCAUGAAACUCUCAACCCCCUUAUUUUGUAAUGAUAUAAGUGUGGGCUUGGUUCAUGGUUGUUGAAGGCUUAACAGUCUUCUCAACUGAAAUACACGAGCUACCUAUUUUAUACUAGACGGUUUGACUCGGCGUAAUAACUAUUUCGCUGAGGACGUCCUUUUAUAAUAGUAAAUGGUGCUUCUAAUUUAACAUCAAUUUAAGAUUUAGACCUCAAAUCAGUCAGGACUACCCGCUGAACUUAA
rnacentral:misc_RNA from 1 species